rnacentral:lncRNA from 12 species
GGAGGGACGCCGCGUGCUGCCCGCCUGCUUCCUGCUUCCGGCUUUCUGAGGCGGCGCGAGGACGGCGAGGUGCGGCAGGGGGGCGUUUGCCUCUUUUCCUCGCUCGCCGCGCUCUAGCUCUCUUUUCCCUCUCCUCACGUCGGCAGCGAAGAUCUUCAGUUCUCAUAAAGUCAGCUUCACACUGAAAUGAAAUCAUUCAGCCUGGGCAAGAAAAACAUAAAAGUACAGUCCAAAGUAGAAGAAAAUUAAAUAUUCAUUUUGCAGUCAUAACAUCAAUCAGAUUUUAUUUAUUUGAUUUUUUUUUUUUUAAGAUUUAUUCAUUCAGAGCACGAGAGAGGCAGAGACACAGGCAGAGGGAGAAGCAGGCAUCAUACAGAGAGCCUGAUGUGGGACUCUAUCCAGGGUCUCCAGGAUCACACCACAGGCUGCAGGUGGCACUAAACCAGUGCGCCACUGGGGCUGCCCUAUUUAUUUAUUUGAGAGAGAGAGUGCAUGCACACAUAUGCGUGAACAGGGGGAGGACCAGAGAGAGAGGUAGAGGAAAAGGGAAAGAUUCCCAAGCAGACUCCAUACUGAGUGGGGAGCCAGGCUUGGUGCUGGAUCUCAGGAUCCAUGAGAUCAUGACCAGGACUGAAGCGAAGAAUUGACACUCAACAGACUGAGCAAUCUAGGCACCCUGAUUUUCUUUCUUGAUCCUUUGCUGUCUUUCCAUUUAAUUUUAAGUUUCAUGAGAUUUUGAAACUCCAUACUGUUUUCUGUGCUAUGUCCUAGCCCAUAGCAUAAGAGAUCAUACAUAUUUGUUAUAUGAAACAAAUACAUUCGUAAUUGAAUAAUGCUUGUUUAGUCACAUUUUUCUCCUAAAAUACCUAUCGUCUCUAAACUCUAACUUCCACUAAUGUUAUAUUCUUAUCUCACUUAAAGAAAUUGUGAAAUUUUAUGCUUUUCAUAUAUUUAUGUGACUUCUCUCUCAAUAGCAUGUUUAUUGCAUAUAGUUGCCAGCAGUCAUUUACCUCUUAACUUCAUAGACAAUGUUCAUGAAAUUGAAAUUCAGUAAAUAUUAAUUAAAUUAUAGGCAGUCUGAGGGAAGAGCUUCAGUUUAGGGUGUUCUUGAGUGCUGAAUUAACAAAUAUCCUUAGUUUCAAAACCCCAGUUAGCAAUACUGGAAGAGCAACUAAAGUCUAGCUUGUUGGAUAUAAUUUAAUUCCACAAAAUUAAUUAACAAAUUUAUUUAAUUUAAUUUAUUUUGUAUUAAUUAAUUUAAUUUAUUUCCACUUCUUAUGCCCAGGACUUAGCAUAGAAAGAAAUAAAUAUUUUUUCAAUCUCUUUGAUUGAGGUAGA